AUUGAACGCUGGCGGCAGGCCUAACACAUGCAAGUCGAGCGGAUGAAGGGAGCUUGCUCCUGGAUUCAGCGGCGGACGGGUGAGUAAUGCCUAGGAAUCUGCCUGGUAGUGGGGGAUAACGUCCGGAAACGGGCGCUAAUACCGCAUACGUCCUGAGGGAGAAAGAGGGGGAUCUUCGGACCUCACGCUAUCAGAUGAGCCUAGGUCGGAUUAGCUAGUUGGUGGGGUAAAGGCCUACCAAGGCGACGAUCCGUAACUGGUCUGAGAGGAUGAUCAGUCACACUGGAACUGAGACACGGCCCAGACUCCUACGGGGGGCAGCAGUGGGGAAUAUUGGACAAUGGGCGAAAGCCUGAUCCAGCCAUGCCGCGUGUGUGAAGAAGGUCUUCGGAUUGUAAAGCACUUUAAGUUGGGAGGAAGGGCAGUAAGUUAAUACCUUGCUGUUUUGACGUUACCAACAGAAUAAGCACCGGCUAACUUCGUG
rnacentral:rRNA from 1 species